rnacentral:tRNA from 1 species
GCUCUUAGAGUGUAAUCACGUCACAAUUUCAUUGUGGAAAUAGAUAUUUCUUGAGAGUU